rnacentral:misc_RNA from 1 species
GCCAAGCUCCUUUUCUAUCAUUUCAAAAGCUACUUCAGAGGAAAAAGGUGUUAUCCGAUCUUGCAACAGAGAUAGCUCAUCCAAAUACGAUGGUGGUAUCAAAUCUGGUCGAGAUGAGAUAGCUUGUGCAAUUUUAACAUAUGCCUGCAAAAAAGCAUUUUAGAAUUCAUCACACUGGUAAAGGGAUAAUAUUUUACAAGAUAAAAUAUAUAGCAUGACUUCCCACAUCCAAACCUUCAAUAAG